rnacentral:rRNA from 1 species
GAUGAACGCUGGCGGCGUGCCUAAUACAUGCAAGUCGAGCGAACAGACGAGGAGCUUGCUCCUCUGACGUUAGCGGCGGACGGGUGAGUAACACGUGGAUAACCUACCUAUAAGACUGGGAUAACUUCGGGAAACCGGAGCUAAUACCGGAUAACAUGUUGAACCGCAUGGUUCAACAGUGAAAGACGGUCUUGCUGUCACUUAUAGAUGGAUCCGCGCCACAUUAGCUAGUUGGUAAGGUAACGGCUUACCAAGGCAACGAUGCGUAGCCGACCUGAGAGGGUGAUCGGCCACACUGGAACUGAGACACGGUCCAGACGCCUACGGGAGGCAGCAGUAGGGAAUCUUCCGCAAUGGGCGAAAGCCUGACGGAGCAACGCCGCGUGAGUGAAGAAGGUCUUCGGAUCGUAAAACUCUGUUAUUAGGGAAGAACAAAUGUGUAAGUAACUAUGCACGUCUUGACGGUACCUAAUCAGAAAGCCACGGCUAACUACGUG